rnacentral:rRNA from 1 species
UCGGGAAUUUUGCGCAAUGGACGAAAGUCUGACGCAGCAACGCCGCGUGAGGGAUGACGGCCUUCGGGUUGUAAACCUCUUUUGUCAGGGAAGAUGAUGACGGUACCUGACGAAUAAGUCACGGCUAACUACGUGCCAGCAGCCGCGGUAAUACGUAGGUGACGAGCGUUGUCCGGAUUUACUGGGCGUAAAGAGCGCGCAGGCGGUCGUUCAAGUCGAGUGUGAAAGCCCCCGGCUCAACUGGGGAGGGUCACUCGAUACUGAUCGACUCGAAGGCAGGAGAGGGAAGUGGAAUUCCCGGUGUAGUGGUGAAAUGCGUAGAUAUCGGGAGGAACACCAGUGGCGAAGGCGACUUCCUGGCCUGUUCUUGACGCUGAGGCGCGAAAGCUAGGGGAGCAAACGGGAUUAGAUACCCCAGUAGUCCCUGAGCGGGCUGGCAAGGCGCAU